rnacentral:tRNA from 2 species
AUUGAAUUAGCAGAAUCCAAUGUGUUAAACUUAGAAUUUAAAAAUAUAAUAACAAUUAUAUUCAAUA